rnacentral:lncRNA from 1 species
CAGGACUGUUGCGGAGGGAAGUAAGUGAAUGUGUCCAAAACACUUGGAAGUUUGCCUGGAAUCCAGUGUGUGCUAUACCAGAGUCCUAGUUAGGCGUGGCCUUGAACAGCCCUGAGAAUGAACAUCUGAGAAGCGUCAAUGUGGGAUGCCCUGAGAUGCAAUUAAGAGGAGGAAGGAAACCAUGGUUCUAUUUUAACAUGCCAGCACCAUGUAAAAGACUACUCAAUGUGAAGAUGAUGAGGAUGAAGACCUUUAUAAUGAUCCACUUCCACUUAAUGAAUAUGAAGGAGGUGCCUUACUUCCUCUUCACCUUUUGUCAUGAUUGUAAGUUUCCUGAGGCCUCCCAAGCCAUGCUGAACUGUGAGUCAAUAAACCUUUUUCUUUUAUAAAUUACCCAGUCUCAGGCAGUUCUUUAUAGCAGUAUGAAAAUGGACUAGUACAGACUUAGUGACUGAAAUAAUGUGGAAAGUUGAGCAGAUGCUGAAGCUAUUUACAGAGUAAGAGAAUGAGUUGGAGUAGAAUUUGAAAGGAAAAUAGCACUGCCUUUCUUUAAUGCUUUUUGAUACCUCUGUGAGAGAGAGAUUGGUUAGAUCUUCAUCGAACCUGCUUCCUCAUUGGAACACAGCUGGAAUCCAUUUCCCAGACUGCCUCAUGGUCAGAUGUGGCCAUGUGACUGAGUUCCGGCCAAUGGAGUAUGAGUAGUAGGGACUCCAGGACUGGCUCAUUCAGUCUUCUACCACACAAUCUUCUUCCUCUUUCUCCUUCUACUGGAUGGAUAUUGAUAACCAGAGUCAUUUUGGAAACUACAUGUUCAAGCUGGCAAAACCUCCAUCAGCCUAGAAAAGCAAGAGGUUCAUCAGUAUUUUAAAAAUAAACGGUAUUUUAAUUUAGCAUUUACUUAAUUUUGUUCCCCAGUUCCAUUGUUUACAUUUCCAUGUUUUUCUCACAAUUGUAAGCCUGCAGUGUAAAGCUUCUCAAAGGGGUUCUGUUAGCAUUGUCUGGGCAAUUCUUUUUUGUGUGGGGUUGUGCUGCACAUGACAAGACACUUAGCUCCUGGGUUUCAUCCACUAAAUGCCACCUAUGCAAUGUGACAAAGAACUUCCCUCAGUUAACAAUGACUUUCAAAAGAGAACGUCCAGGACAUUAUUUAUUCAUCCUUUUCUUUUCCACAGCAGUUAGCACAGUGUCUUUGAGAGAAUGAACAUGGAGUAGCAAAAGGAACUUAAAGUUGGAAAGAAUGGGUGCCAACUCCUAACUCUAUCAUUUAUUAACUAUGUGACUUUUGAGUAGAAGUUAAAGGAGAAGAAAAUGAGAUCUUUCCAAGCCUUCCUGAAAGAAAAUGAGAAAUACGUCAUUGGCUCUGAAAGCACAAAUGUGAUGAAGCUGAGACCAGGCCUUGCAAGGAAGGCUGAUUGACAGGAUGUGAAGCUGAUGCAGGGCCAUUUGUUGGGGUGAUACUGCAGAGCACCAGCUGGGUCUGUAGAUAGAGGCAAGUAAUGACAGUGCUGCCUCUCACCUCUCCCAUCAUCUUGUGCCUUCCUGUGUGCCUAAAGUCAAGAGGACUUUACUUGUGUUUGGGGCCUUCUCUGAUUAACACAAGGCAGUGGCAGGGAUGGGGGCAGCAGAAAAAGAAAGAAGCAUCUUGUGACCCAGGAAGACAGUGGCCUUGGCAUAUUUGUAUAUAAUUUAGAAAAUCAGGAUCUAUGUACCUUGCUUGACUCAUAGUAGGUAUUCAAUAAACUGUUGUACUUUCUUAGAAAAAAAAAGCCAUGAAUAAAUGCAUCUACUCGAUAUCACCCAUCUGACAGGAAAUAAUGUCUAUGUGUGCAUAUAGGUUUUGUGAAAUGGGAUGGGUG